AUUGAACGCUAGCGGCAGGCCUAACACAUGCAAGUCGAGCGAGUGGCGGACGGGUGAGUAAUGUAUGGGAACGUGCCCGAUGGCGGGGGAUAACUACUGGAAACAGUGGCUAAUACCGCAUACCAUUUGAUGGUCCCAUAUGGGAUUAGCUAGUAGGUGGGGUAACGGCUCACCAAGGCCACGAUCCCUAGCUGGUCUGAGAGGAUGACCAGCCACACUGGGACGGAGACACGGCCCAGACUCCUACGGUAGGCAGCAGUGGGGAAUAUUGCACAAUGGGCGCAAGCCUGAUGCAGCCAUGCCGCGUGUAUGAAGAAGGCCUUCGGGUUGUAAAGUACUUUCAGUCGGGAGGCGUUACCUACAGAAGAAGCACCGGCUAACUCCGUGCCAGCAGCCGCGGUAAUUC
rnacentral:rRNA from 1 species